rnacentral:lncRNA from 1 species
AUGAGGAGGGGGCGAGGAAGACAGGCAGGCCUGUUAUCACAAGGAGAUUGGGGCGAAAACGUGGGGGUAACGCCAGGGGGAGUGCAGGAGGGACGGGUGGUGGGACCCCAGGUGUGCUGCAUCAGCCUGACGGCUGGAGAGGAGGGGUGCUGGCGUGGGGCUGCCCUGAUAAGAGCAGGACGGGGGCAGCUGCAGCUUUUCUUUCAUUCAGAACUGGGCAGCCUCUGGCUCUUUGCUGGGGCUGCAGGGCCAGGUACUCUCCAGUGGGAACUUGGUAGCGAGAGACCUGGAAUGAGAGAUGGCAGGCACGGUGCUGUGCCCCGGGUGGGCCAUCUGAAGAGGAACAGACCGAAACUAACCCCGGGGGAUGAGCCUGCGUGCUUUCUGGGACCUGUACUCGUACCACCAGAGAUGUUUUUUGCCACUUUCCUCUCCUUUUGCAGUAAGAAGCCUCUAAGUGAUGCCCUUGGGGUAUCACAAGUGCUCUCACUUCCCUCUCCAUCCCGCUACACCGGGAGGGAGCUUUUGGCUGCGAGAUGCUGGGGGGCACCGCCGAUGGAUGGGGCUGCGUUGGGGGGACCGGGGCAGCGCUGGGGGACCUCGGGGGGGGGGUCUUUAAGCGGAGGGCGACCGUGCCGGGCCCACCGCGGUGCCCCCCGGCCCCCGGGGCCCUCUCGCCUCAGGCCGGGCCCGCCAGGGGGCGCCGCCGCCUCCCCCCGCCCUUCCCGCUCCCCCUCCCCUGGCAGCCGUCGCCAUGGCGACCGCUGGGUGCGUAGCGGCCCUUACGAAGCUGACGCAGUGGGCGGCCCGGCACGGGCGGGGGCGGCCCCGGCACGGGCGGAGGCGGCGUUGGAGAAUCGGGGGGGGGGGGGGGGGGGCGGGGGCCCCGAGCCGGCGGGGGGGGGGGGGGGCGGGGGGGGGGGGGGGGGGGCCCCGGGGGGGGGGGGGGGGGGGGGGGGGGGGGGGGGGGGGGGGGGGGCCGCGAGGCCCCGGGAUGGAGGCGGCGGCGGCGGCCCCGGGCCUGAGGCGCUGGCGGCGGCGGCGGCGGCAGAGAGGUGAGGGAGGGAGGGAGGGAGGCGGCGCCCCCCGAGGCCUGUGCCGGCGGCCAGGAGGCCCCGCGGCAGGUGCAGCGGGGCUGCUGCGGCCGCAGCCCGGCCCCCGGGU